rnacentral:rRNA from 1 species
CAGUAGCCACGGUAAUACGAAGGGUGCAAGCGUUAAUCGGAAUUACUGGGCGUAAAGCGUGCGUAGGCGGUGAGUUAAGUCUGCUGUGAAAUCCCCGGGCUCAACCUGGGAAUGGCAGUGGAUACUGGCUCGCUAGAGUGUGUCAGAGGAUGGUGGAAUUCCCGGUGUAGCGGUGAAAUGCGUAGAGAUCGGGAGGAACAUCAGUGGCGAAGGCGGCCAUCUGGGCCAACACUGACACUGAGACACGAAAGCGUGGGGAGCAAACAGGAUUAGAUACCCCCGUAGUCCCUGUCUCUUAUAC